rnacentral:lncRNA from 1 species
UUUAUCUCAAAAUUUGUGUGUAGCUUGAUCUUUAAGUCUUUAAAUACCAUGCUAAUUUUCUCUUUAAUCCGACUAAUAGAUCUUUAAAUAUCAUAGAAAUCCUACCCAACCUCAAACUACCACCUUCCGAAAUUCUCUUGUGCUAACAACUAGAUAUCUCUAAACCAUGCCGUUAGAUUAUCACAAAAUUUUGUAUACACUUAGCACACCCAAUAAUCCAAAUAGUAUCAAGUUUUCAAUUGUAGGUGUCACAUCAAUUUCACAAACUAGCCAAAAUUGCUAGCUCUAAUUAUAUUAUAUAAAACUCAAAUCAUUGAUACAAACCCUGACUUUGAAUAACAAUUGUUAAGUCCUCCAAAACCCUCUCAAAACAAUUCUUAUGUUUCUAAAAAGAACUUCAAGCUAGCUCUCAAAUUCUAACCUUCGAUCUUCAAAUGAAUGCCUAAUUUGUCCUUAGCAGUCGUUUUAGUGAUUAGAGGUCUGAUUUCGACCCUGUCUCACAAAUGGUCGAUCCCCGGGUAUCAAUCUAACUUAUCCUAAGGAUUUUUUAGACCAAAUCCUAGCCUUAACUUGAUCCUAGUAUCAACCAUAUCAACCAUUUAUCUCUUCUAUCUUGAUUUUAUCAAUUUAUGGUCUUUCUAAGGUAGUAGAAGGGUCUCUAUAACUUAGAAGGUAAAAUUACUAACUAACCUUCAACCUACUUAUUAAGAUAAAAAAAUAACCUAAGAGGCUUUUAUAAAAGCCAUGUUAAGAUACUUCAAAUUAUAAUUGAACUAAGAUAAUUAGAUAUUAAUUAGAAAUUCAAUUUUAAUUAUAAUUUUAUUAUUUAAUUGUAUUACAUUACGACAUCCAUCCGCUCUUAACCUACGCAUCCUCCGGUAUGCGCCAAAUGAACCAUAUGUCAUAAUUGGCAUCACUUCAUCUGUUCAUUUUCUUUGUUAAAUCCAUCAUUUUUAUUUUCACCAUCCUCUUCAAAACAAUUGUCUUCUUCAAAAAUAUCGAUUACUUCAGCAUAAUCUUCCAUAUUGAUUUUUCUAUCUCAUCUUUUAAAAAUCUUCACUCGCUUUUCAGCAAUAGGUAUUUUCAACUUGGUACCAUCUAACUCCCUUCAUGAAUAUGUGGCAUUAUCAUGAACCAUUAUUACCUCAUAUGGUCCAAAUCAACGUUUUGAAAACUUUCACAAAGUACUAUGUUGGUUAUCCAGACUACUAUCAUAAACAAGUAUCCAAUCACCUUCUUCAAUUUCUCUAGGCUUCAAUGAAUGUUGCUUAUCAAAUCGAGUCUUAUUUCCUAACCUUAAUUUUUGUAAUUUUUUUAAUGUGAGUUCCACAACUCAUUUAAAAAGAAUAGCCAAAGGAUAUAUCAGAUACAACUGAUUUCAAUGUCAUAUAUUUGAAUACAUCUGACAAGUUAUACAAAAUUCUACAAAUAAAGUUAUAUCUCAAUACAUAUUCUUCUACCAAUAUAGUUCUUUCAUUUUAGCAAAAGUAGCUCAAAUUCCUAUAUGUCCCGCCCAUAGACUCUCAUGAAACUCAUUGAGUAGUCUUUGUUGAUCUUCUUUGGUACCUAAUACUCAUCUUGGCAUUCCAAUUCCUUUCUUUGGUCUCUUCUAUAAAAACCCUUUUUGAAGCAAAAAUCCAUAAGCCUUCUUUUUUAUUUGAUUAAAUUUUUUUGUUGAUCAAUUUUCUUGUUUAGUCAAGAUAUUCAAAUAAAGACCAAUUUCUAAUAAUUCUCUUUCAUAAAGUUCUUCAAAAAAUAUCUUAUCUUCCUUAUUAAGAUUUGAUACUAAAUAGAAUUUUGUUCUAACAUCAUCAAUAUCUUCAACUGUCUUGUCUUUUCUUUCAUAUACUGCUCAAGAUAACAUAUCUACUAUCAGAUUGUCUUUCCCUGCAACAUGUCUAAAUUUUGGAUUUAGUGAUUUAAUAUAAGCAAUCCAUCUCAACAUCGCAAUAUGUGGUAUUGUACAAUUGGUAAUCAUUACAAGUAAAGGCAAACAAUCUGUUUCAAUUACCACUAUAGUUCUAAUCAAAUAAUCCUUUUUAGCUUUCAUAAUUGAAACAACUCUCCAUAGUUCUCUUUUCACCUAAAGAUAUGCACGCUGGUGAAUACUUAAAACUUUAGCUCCAAAUUGUACUGCAAAUUUGUGUCCAUUUGAGUCAUCUUGACCUAUAGUCCAUCGAAUGGCAAUCCGACUAGUAUCCAGAGUAAGAAUUAUUGAUCUAUUGCACUUAUAAUCAACUUUUCUUAACAUUAGAGGCAAUAUCAAUAAUUUCUUCAAUCUUUGCACUACUUUAACAUGUUUUUCUUUCCAUUUAAAUUGAUAGUCUUUGCGUAAUAGUUCAUACAAUGGAUCUGCUAUGUGAGAUUAAUGAGGAAUCCAAAUAUGAUAAAAUACACAUGCACCUAAAAACCUGCAAAUCUCUGUUAAAGAACUACAAUCUUCUUUCAUUCUCCCCUUUAUAGAAACAUCAUCUAGAAAAGACAUAGUCUUCUCUAGAAUAAAAUCUCUUAAUAUCUUAUUCAUUCCAUUCAUCAUAUACGCAACUGAGUUGGUUGCGCCUUGAGGAAGAGUAUACAUUUUAACUAAUCUAAGUGGUGUCCUCAUCAGUGUCAUAUCUCUACUUCCUUCUGCAAGUUGAAAUUAGUCAUAGCUUGAAUACAAAUCACUCAUUGAAUGGAUUGCCCUUCUUACAAACGUCUCAGCAAAUUCAUCUAUUAUAGGUCCAAUUCCUACAUUCCUAAUAGUUAUUACAUUCACUGAUUGCAUAUUUUAAAUAAAGUAUAAUGAUCUAUUUUUCUUAGGCACUAAAAACCAUCAACUAGAAUAUGGUACAAAAGAGGGCUCUAAAAUCUUCAUCUUCAUCUUUUCUUUUAAUAAUUCCACCAAGCUUGGUAAAUAUAACCUUGGUACUGGAAUUGACCUUAGAUUCCAAGGUAUAUGUGGUACAAUGAAAAUAACCAUAGGUGUUACAAUAUUUGGAUCCACACACCUAAUUUCAUAAGAUUCAAAGGCAAAUAAUCUACCUUGUUUUACUAACAUGUCUUUGAAGCAAGUAAUUUCCUCGGGUAAUAAAGAACCAUCACAACCAAUCUUUAAUUCUUCAAAAGUCUCUUUAGUAAACUUGUGACUAAUAUUCUUUGGAUCUCUUAAGCUCCUUUUUCUUGAUGCUUCUCCCAUUUGUUCUUUAGAAUCUUCUAGUAAAUGUCCUGCAAUCGAUUUGACUUUCUUAUCUACUGUCUUAUAUUUUGUCUCAACUAUAACCUUUGGUACUUGAAAAGAUUCAAUCAUAUCAUAAACUGCUCUUGAAUGAAUUGCUAUUACUUUGUCAUCAUUACCUAAUCCAAUAGAUGCAAUCAAUUCCAAAGGAUCUUCUAGUCUAUUUUCUUCAUAAAUAUUAGUAAUCUUUUCAUUAUCUUCUAAUAUUCCUAGUUUAUACAAUUCUUUUUCAAUAGUACUUAAUUUCUUUGUUUCUUUUUUUUUUAAAUCAUUAAUCUUCUUAUACAUAAUGCUUUUAUUUUCAAAAAUACUAAUAAAUCCUCCAUUAAAGGCACCUAUAUCUUGUGAGAGUAUCUCUCUUUCUAUACCUCUAUAAUCUUGCUUUAUAGUAAUACCUCCCAAAAAUCCUUGAAUUCUUCAACAACCCUUGGCAAUCGAUUUUCUGUCAAUUUGUCUCAAUUCCGCUCAUGAUUUGGAGGCACAAUCAAAAACUGUAUUACCCUCUUUCCAUCCUUACUACAAAUUCGUGCAUAAGCUGAACCAUCAUCAAGUACUUUUGUUUUCAUCCAAGUUGCAAUAAUAUAUGGUUGUCCCAAAAUAAGAGGAUAAGAUGUUGCAUCUUGAAUAAAAAAAAUUUUCUCCAUUGCAACAUCACCAAUCUGAAUUUUUACAUCUGGUUAAGCACCAUAUAAUUCUCCUUCUGUAUUAUUGGCUGCCCGUAUUGCCCAUCCAUGCUCCAUGUCAAUGGACCACCUUUGUUUCAUAUAAAGAUCUUUAGACAUAAGGUUUAUCUCUGAACCAUAGUCAAUCAAAGCAACAACCAAUUCGUCCAUAUCUUCAAUCUUUACUAAUGCCUCUGUAGUUGCUCUAGCUCAAUGCUUUCGAGUAUAAUGACUUGAAACCUCUCUAUCUUUAUUAUCUUGAUCAUUAAAACAUACCCUUUGAUUAUGACUCCUCCAUUUACUUGCUAAUUGUUUGUAAAAAUUAUCGAAUACAUCUUCUUCACCUUCAUAUAUGUGUGCAUUAAUAGCAUGAUUUAAUCCAGCUUCUCCCAUUAAUUACUUCUUUUAUUUAAUACUGUCAAUAAUGACAUCAUGGAAUUCUUUCUUAGUAAUUCUUAAAAUUUCUUUCAAUGUAAACUCAACCUUAGCAUUGAACACUCGUUCUUCAAGCAUUGCCUUCAAAUCUGUUGACGCUUCAAUAUCAGAGAGUAGUUUAUAAGUUGUCAAUUUACCUUUAUCUUUCAUCUCCUUUGCUUUUUCUUCCCAUAUUAUUGAAAUAUCUUUUAUGGAUAAUUCUUAUGAAGUCGAUGCACGAGCCUUAUCUCCUCGAAUUUUCUUCUCUUGAAUCAUCAAAAUUUUCUCUCCUCUUUUCUUCUAUUAAAGCUUUAUGUUGGCUUUUAGCAAUAUAUGCAUGUAUUGACAAAGCUUCAUGUUGGCUUUUAGCAAUAUAUGCAUGUACUGAAAAAGCUUCUACAAGAUCCUCUCAAACCAUAGCACCACGAAUUGUUGCAACAGUUCUCAAUAAAGCUUCCUAUAGCAUCUUCUCUUUUUGCAUUGUAGAAAUAGCAGAAGAUCAAAGUCCACUUGAUUGAAUAUUUCCAACAAAAUUCUUUGGUACUUGUACCACUCUUUAAGUAUCAAACCUAUCAUUUUUUUUUAUUUUUUUUAUUUUUUAUUUUUGUUUUUUUGUAAAUAAUCCAAUAGCAUCUUUAAAAGCUUUCCACUUUAUUAUCAAUCCUUCUUCUUCUUCUUUAUCUUCAAGAAGAAUCUCUAAAUUCUCUUCUAAUUCUUCAUUAGUAACUUGAAGAAAUAAUUCAACCUUGUUUGAUCUCAAUGUUAACUUUUCUAUUUUCAAUAAUCAAGAAAAUUGCCUUUCAAAUUUUCUUCAUAAUUUUUUAGCUUGCAAAUUUUUGUUAGGUUGCUCAAUCCAUUCCAAGAAUGAUUUAUUGGUAACUCGAUCAAUAUCCUCCAAAAAAUACUCAUCCUUCAAUGCAUGUGAAAAUACCUCUCAAGAACUUUGAAAUUGCUCCAUAAUAGACCUUAUAUGCUUUCAUAUCUUUGGUACCAAAGCAAGCUCAAAUAAUUGAAUCAUCUCCUUCUUGGAAACGUGAUUCAAUUCCAUUUCCUGCACAUAACAUCUUAAAUAUUUGAAAAUAUCCCUCCCAUCAAAUUCAUCAAUCUUGUAAACCAUUGCUUACAAUGCUUUGGUUGCCAAAGCCACUUUGUGAUCAUUGCCCUGUUCCUGAUGCAUAAAUAAUAUAAAUGCUUGAAAAAAUUUUGUAGUAUUUGGAUCGAGGUAUAUAUCUUGUUCACCAGUAGAAAUUCCAUUUGAAGUUGUGCUUAAAGAUCCACUUGAAGCUCCAUCCAAAGCUCCAUCAAAAAGUCCAAAUUCAACUUUCUUACCUUCUUGUGCCAUCAAAUCUAAAUAACCACAAAUAUAAUCCAAUACCUUCUACCUCAAACUUUCAUGUCAGAUUCACCACUUAAGUCAUAUUACGUGUUAUUUUGCUCAAGAAUGCACCAAGCACCUAGCUGAGGAAGGUGAGAUUGUGUUUCACAAGUAGUCAAGAAAUCCUAAUAAGUUUUGUCCAUACAAGGAGAAUAUAAUCUGAAUUUCAAUUCAAAAAUGCUUAAAACACUCUUCUUAGUAUUCUUAACUAUACAUAAAUCUCAAUUAUCUUAUUGUUUUUAUAUUUAAGUAAUUUAGAUUUUUCUUGUAAGUCCCAAUCUUAAUCAGUGAGCUUUAACAAGCUAUAACAUCCAAUCCGACCGUCCACUCGAUGUGGAAUUUUGCAUGCAAUUUUCAAUGUAAGUCUUCUCUAUGCUCAAGAAUUUUUAGCCCAAUUCAACUUACAAAUUGUGAAAAAACCUCCAAAACUUGCAAUGAUGUCACUCGGCCGCUAACUUGAAAAGUGAAGCAAAAAUCCUAGCAAUGUUUUCUCCCUUUUCAACCAUUAACUUUAUCUCAAAAUUUGUGUGUAGCUUGAUCUUUAAGUCUUUAAAUACCAUGCUAAUUUUCUCUUUAAUCCGACUAAUAGAUCUUUAAAUAUCAUAGAAAUCCUACCCAACCUCAAACUACCACCUUCCGAAAUUCUCUUGUGCUAACAACUAGAUAUCUCUAAACCAUGCCGUUAGAUUAUCACAAAAUUUUGUAUACACUUAGCACACCCAAUAAUCCAAAUAGUAUCAAGUUUUCAAUUGUAGGUGUCACAUCAAUUUCACAAACUAGCCAAAAUUGCUAGCUCUAAUUAUAUUAUAUAAAACUCAAAUCAUUGAUACAAACCCUGACUUUGAAUAACAAUUGUUAAGUCCUCCAAAACCCUCUCAAA